rnacentral:rRNA from 1 species
UACAUGGGGUGCAAACGUUGCUCGGAAUUAUUGGGCGUAAAGCGCGCGUAGGCGGUUACUUAAGUCGGAUGUGAAAGCCCUCGGCUUAACUGAGGAAGUGCACCCGAAACUGAGUAGCUAGAGUACGAAAGAGGGUCGCGGAAUUCCCGGUGUAGAGGUGAAAUUCGUAGAUAUCGGGAGGAACACCGGUGGCGAAGGCGGCGACCUGGGUCGAGACUGACGCUGAGGCGCGAAAGCGUGGGGAGCAAACAGGAUUAGAAACCCCCGUAGUCC